UCUGGCCCCCCGGCCCGAGUUGUAAUUUGUAGAGGAUGCUUUUGGCGCGGCGCCUUCUGAGUUCCCUGGAACGGGACGCCAUAGAGGGUGAGAGCCCCGUAGAGUUGGACGCCUAGCCUCUGUAAAGCUCCUUCGACGAGUCGAGUAGUUUGGGAAUGCUGCUCAAAAUGGGAGGUAAAUUUCUUCUAAAGCUAAAUACCGGCUGGAGACCGAUAGCGCACAAGUAGAGUGAUCGAAAGAUGAAAAGCACUUUGAAAAGAGGGUUAAACAGCACGUGAAAUUGUUGAAAGGGAAGCGCUCGUGACCAGACUUGCGCCCUGCCAAUCAUCCGGCGUUCUCGCCGGUGCACUUGGCUGGGCCCAGGCCAGCAUCGGUUUCCCCAGGGGGAGAAAAGCGCCGGGAACGUAGCUCCCCCGGGAGUGUUAUAGCCCGGCGCACAAUGCCUCUGGGGGGACCGAGGACCGCGCAUCGCAAGGAUGCUGGCGUAAUGGUCACCAGCGACCCGUCUU
rnacentral:rRNA from 1 species